AGUGAACGCUGGCGGUAGGCCUAACACAUGCAAGUCGAACGGCAGCACAGUAAGAGCUUGCUCUUACGGGUGGCGAGUGGCGGACGGGUGAGGAAUACAUCGGAAUCUACUUUUUCGUGGGGGAUAACGUAGGGAAACUUACGCUAAUACCGCAUACGACCUACGGGUGAAAGCAGGGGAUCUUCGGACCUUGCGCGAUCGAAUGAGCCGAUGUCGGAUUAGCUAGUUGGCGGGGUAAAGGCCCACCAAGGCGACGAUCCGUAGCUGGUCUGAGAGGAUGAUCGGACACACUGGAACUGAGACACGGUCCAGACUCCUACGGGAGGCAGCAGUGGGGAAUAUUGGACAAUGGGCGCAAGCCUGAUCCAGCCAUACCGCGUGAGUGAAGAAGGCCUUCGGGUUGUAAAACCCUUUUGUUGGGAAAGAAAAGCAGCAGGUUAAUACCCCGCUGUUCUGACGGUACCCAAAGAAUAAGCACCGGCUAACUUCGUG
rnacentral:rRNA from 1 species